rnacentral:rRNA from 1 species
UACGUAGGGUGCGAGCGUUAAUCGGAAUUACUGGGCGUAAAGCGUGCGCAGGCGGCGCGUUAAGACAGGUGUGAAAGCCCCGAGCUUAACUUGGGAAUUGCGCUUGUGACUGGCGUGCUGGAGUGUGGCAGAGGGAGGUGGAAUUCCACGUGUAGCAGUGAAAUGCGUAGAGAUGUGGAGGAACACCGAUGGCGAAGGCAGCCUCCUGGGCCAGCACUGACGCUCAUGCACGAAAGCGUGGGGAGCAAACCGG